rnacentral:ncRNA from 1 species
AAAGACUUAGUCCUAACCUUACCAUUAGUUCUUGCUAGACAUAUACAUGCAAGUAUCUGCGCCCCAGUGUAAAUGCCCUUGAUCCCUAUAACUGUAGGUAAAAGGAGCUGGCAUCAGGCACGCCCAUUGCAGCCCAAGACGCCUUGCUUAGCCACACCCCCACGGGUAUUCAGCAGUAAUUAACAUUAAGCAAUAAGUGAAAACUUGACUUAGUUAUAGCAGCACCCAGGGUUGGUAAAUCUUGUGCCAGCCACCGCGGUCACACAAGAAACCCAAGUUAAUCGUACACGGCGUAAAGAGUGGACCCAUGAUUAUCGUAAUAAUUAAGGCCGAAACGUAACUGAGCUGUCAUAAGCUUAAGAUACGCUUAAAACCACCCUAAAGACGACCUUAAUCUACGCGGCUGAUUAAAUUCCACGAAAGCCAGGAUACAAACUGGGAUUAGAUACCCCACUAUGCCCGGCCCUAAAUCUUGAUGCUUUUCCCCACUAGAGCAUCCGCCUGAGGACUACGAGCACAAACGCUUAAAACUCUAAGGACUUGGCGGUGCCUCAAACCCACCUAGAGGAGCCUGUCYUGUAAUCGACAACCCACGAUACACCCAACCACUUUUUGCCAAAACAGCCUACAUACCGCCGUCGCCAGCUCACCUCUCCUGAGAGCACAACAGUGAGCAUAAUCGCCCUAACCCGCUAGUAAGACAGGUCAAGGUAUAGCCUAUAAAGUGGGAGAGAUGGGCUACAUUUUCUAAUUUAGAAAAUCUUAACGGAAAGGAGCAUGAAACAGCUCCUAGAAGGCGGAUUUAGCAGUAAAGCAGGAUAAUAAUGCCCUCUUUAAACUGGCUCUGAGGCACGUACAUACCGCCCGUCACCCUCCUCACAAGCCUUAAACCCCCUAUAAAUAAUAUCCCUACUCGCCAAAGAUGAGGUAAGUCGUAACAAGGUAAGUGUACCGGAAGGUGCACUUAGUACAC